rnacentral:tRNA from 1 species
AGUUCGAUUGUGUAACGGUAGCACAACAGACUCUGACUCUGUUUGUCUAGGUUCGAAUCCUAGUCGAACUA